UCGGAUGCGGGUCUGAUCCAGCUUCGACGAGGCGAGGAAUUACCUGCGGUAGGCAACUGGCCAAUUGACGCGGGGCGCAAAAUGCCAUGGAACCCAGCAACCGCAA
rnacentral:sRNA from 15 species